CGGGGAGCAGGGGCGGCGCUCCUUGGACCGGCGCUGCUGCCGCCAGCGGCCGAUCUGGGCCCGGGGAGGCUCGGCCGCGAGUGCGUGCGGGUACGUGCCCGCCGUGUGUCACAUCGGUGCGCUCGCUGUGUGAACGCGGGUCUACAGACCGCCUACGGCACAUACACCUGUAAUAUGUGCGCGUGUGCAUUACUACAGAAUCGUUAGGGCUUGGAAGGCACCUCUGGAGAUCAUCUCGACCUACCCUUCUGCCAAGACAGGGUCACCUGAAUCAGCUUUACAUGCUGUGAGUGUCUGUCCGAAACUUCCCUCAUUUUUUGCCUCUCGAUCAUCAUGAAAGCCAAGACCACCGGGGAAAGGAAAAGAUCCUGUUCUGAAAAUCCAGGUCUGACUGGUCCACCAAGCCAAAUUAUUGUCUACGGGUGUCUUUGCUCAACUCAUGGAACACUGCACCCAAGAAGGGGCAGUGUGCUCUCCUUUGCCUGCAUCACCUAGCAACGCUAGUCCUGGAAUUUCUCCACCCUUCUGACUUGGCUGGACUGUCUCUCUGGAAUGACUUUCUCGUCUCCACUGAAAGACCCUCCAUUCACCAUACAUCAACCACCGUGACAGAUGGACUGAGAUGGGAGAAGGUUCUCCCCUCAAGGACUGAGACAUGCGACCCCUAGGACUGAGACUGAAAUCCCUACCGUAGGGUGAGGGAAGGUAUGCGUGGGGACCGAAGCAAGUUUUGCAAGCGACCACUGGACCGAGAAGACAAUGGUUCUUGCCUACGACGUCUGCUGCUGACGACGUCUGCUGCUGAUGGACUACUGAUGGACUUUUUGUACCCUUUAUCAAUAGACUAUUUUGAAAUGUGUCCCCUUCCCCCAUUCAAAAGGACUACAAAAGAGGUUAGAGUUGACUGAUACCUUUGAGAUCUCCCCUGACGUGAAGACGACAGGCUCUUCAUCGACUGGACUUCGAGGGACUUUGUCAUCUGCACGUCUGGUAGCUAUACACCUCCUUGCCUUUCCUCUCUUCUUUUCCUUAUUCUUUCCCUUUUCUUCAUUCCCCUUCUCUCUAACACAUCUUUGCUGUGGCUAUUCAAUAAAAGUACGUCUGUUUUGAUUUCACUGCAAAA